rnacentral:rRNA from 1 species
CCUACGGGUGGCAGCAGUGGGGAAUAUUGCACAAUGGGGGAAACUCUGAUGCAGCGACGCCGCGUGAGUGAAGCAGUAUUUCGGUAUGUAAAGCUCUAUUAGCAGGGAAGAAGAAAGACGGUAACUGACUAAGAAGCCCCGGCUAAAUACGUGCCAGCAGCCGCGGUAAUACGUAGGGGGCAAGCGUCAUCCAGAUAUACUGGGUGUAAAGGGAGCGUAGACGGAGAAGCAAGUCUGAAGUGAAAGCCUGUGGCUUAACCACGGGACUGCUUUGGAAACUGUUUGACUAGAGUGCUGGAGAGGUAAGUGGAAUUCCUAGUGUAGCGGUGAAAUGCGUAGAUAUUAGGAGGAACACCAGUGGCGAAGGCGGCUUACUGGACAGUAACUGACGUUGAGGCUCGAAAGCGUGGGGAGCAAACAGGAUUAGAUACCCUUGUAGUC